UUUCGUAGGCUUGCCAUGAGUUGUUUUUGUAGUUGAAUUACAACGGUGGUUUUUCAUAUCAUUGGUCUU
rnacentral:tRNA from 1 species